rnacentral:lncRNA from 1 species
GUUUUUCAUUUCUGCGUGUCACCACGGUUUGCGGACAGAGGCAGCCCUGGGACUCGGAUGGUGUUCAAUUAACAGAAGAAAAAUUAUUCAUAUAUGCUUCAUCAGAGACAACUGAAGACGAAAAAACUACCAUCCCCGUAUGCGACUAAUUCACACUGCACACCGCCAAGCGCCUGCUCUGAAUUCCAUGCACACCGUACCAGGCAAGGUUACUGGCCGUGGGAAGCACCACAAGGACAAGGCCAUCUCAAGGACAAGGCCAUCUCAAGACACAUUUGGUGCAAGACUGAAACCCAGCGAGGUGAAGCACCCUGAUGGGAUUCUACAGUCUGGAGUAGAACCCACGUCUGCAGGACUCCAAAGCCCAUGAGUUUUGCACUUUGUUCUGUUCCUCCCAACUCUAAGUAUUUGGCACUCUUCAGCAUUGCUGCUGUUGUUCAGCAGUUAAGUCAUGUCUGACUCUUUCUAACCCUGUGGACUGCAGCAGGCCAGGCUUCUCUAUUGCCUGGAGUUUGCUCAGAGUCAACUCAUGUCCAUUGAGUCGGUGAUGCCAUCCAACCAUCUCAUCCUCUGUCGUCCCCUUCUCCUCCUCCUACCCUCAAUCUUUCCCAGCAUCAGGGGCUUUUCCAGUGAGUUGGCUCUUCACAUCAGGUGGCCAGAGUACUGAUGCUUCAGCAUCAGUCCUUCCAAUGAAUAUUCAGGACUGAUUUCCUUUAGGACGGACUGGUUGGGUCUCCCUGCUGUCCAGGGGACUCUCAGGAGUCUUUUCCAGCACUAGCUUUCUCUUACAUCCAAUUGCACUUAGUCUUGGCUACGCUGAGUAUUUUUAAUGCGGUCAUAAAAGUAGGUUCUAUCCUUUCAACCACAUGUGUAUCCUCUGAAUAAAGGACCUUUUAAGACUUUCUUUAGACUGCUCUUUCCCUUCAGAGCCUCUGGUGUAAAGUUCUGCUCUGAGUCUUCCCAUGACAGAUGACAGUCUAGUUAGCCUGGAGAAUCUCUGACAACCAUCCAAGAAGCUUCUGUGUUGAAAAAUGUCCCACUGUUGCAGAGAUUAAACUGGGACCAAUAGUCUUUAUGACAGGGUGAAUAGAAUGCCACUGAGAAAACAAAUUUCCUAUAUUUCAACACAACAGCUUGUUUGCUGUUGAAUAGAUAAAGUCCAACAAAAAGCUCUUUGAUUCAUCAUAACUUACUGCUUUUCCAGCG